CAAGUCUCUAUAUAUUCUCUACUUUAAGUCUAUACUUAUUGAUAUAUGUAAGUGUUAAUUUCCUACUAUUACGUAAAAUGUCAAGUCUGUUUAUUUUCUCAAAUACAGUUGUUUGGAGAAUACAAACAAUUUAAUCCCCUACGUGCAGAAAAUCAAUCUUGCAGAAAGAACUCUUCAAACAGCUGAAUGCAGACGGAAGUGCGUUGACAGCUCGUUUUUGCUAAAAACAGUAUAUAUAUAAGAAGAGAACAUGAAAGAAGAUCUCAUUCAGACUCGUACCUUAUUACGAGAGCGCAAACAACAUUCGGUAAUAAUUUAACUUGACGCGUAAAUUGAUCAUUGGUUUGUUUGUUUGCAUGCAUAUAGCAUGUAAAAUUGGUGUCUACUCUUUGUGCUGUGAUCAACCAUCUUGAAUUUGGUUGAAACGAAGAAGAAUGUUUUCGAAACACUUUGUGCGCUGGGAAACACGCUUGCUUCUGGUUGUUGAAGAGAUAUUAAAAACGAGGUUGAUUCGCUUGAGGAUGAAUACAAAGUCUUGUGGCUUAAAGUAAAAGGGUAAACAUGUUAUGUUCAAAGAAUGUUUUUAAAUCGUGACUUCGGCUUUAAAUCAAUACUCAAAAGAAUUGAAUUUUUAUUUCUUGAGGUUGCAGGAAGUCAAAGCCUUUAGGUAUAAAGGACAAGACGAUACCUAACAACACAAUAAAUGCAUCAUCCGUAUGGUCACGCUAUCCACCAUACUAUAUAAGACCAGGGCAAAGUAAUUGCUGGUAUGCACAAUCUGGCAAGGAAAAAGUUCUUGGAUUCAGGUUGACCUUGGAAAAGUGAAAAGAGUCACUGGAAUAUCAACACAGGGUGCAGCAGCGGAUGGACGCAAACCUAUUCACUGUCUUCCAGCAAUAAUUGACAAAACUGGUAUGAAUACAAGGAGAUUGGCGUAACAAAGCUUUUCGAUGGAAAUGUUGAUUCUACAACCAUGUUGAAAAAUUAUUUUGACCAAUUAGAGCACGAUACGUCCGAUGGUAUCCGCUUUCGUGGUAUUCUUUUUAUCCUUUAAUACGUAUGGAACUUUAUGGUUGUUAGUUAAAUUUUCAACAUAUCUUUUAGGCUACUGAAGAAGUUUCCUUAAAUAAAAUUUGAUUUCUUCAAA